rnacentral:rRNA from 1 species
UGGCGGCGUGGAUAAGACAUGCAAGUCGAACGGGGUUAUAAUUGUAGUAAUACAAUUAUAGCUUAGUGGCGAACGGGUGCGUAACACGUGAGUAAUCUGCCGGGAAGUGUGGGAUAGCUCGCCGAAAGGCGAAUUAAUACCGCAUGUGGCUAGGGGUGACAUCACUCCGAAGCCAAAGUCGCAAGACGCUUCCUGAUGAGCUCGCGGCCUAUCAGCUAGUUGGUGAGGUAACGGCUCACCAAGGCAAUGACGGGUAGCUGGUCUGAGAGGACGACCAGCCACACUGGAACUGAGACACGGUCCAGACACCUACGGGUGGCAGCAGUCGAGAAUUUUUCACAAUGGGGGAAACCCUGAUGGAGCGACGCCGCGUGGAGGACGAAGGUCUUCGGAUUGUAAACUCCUGUCAUGCGGGAACAAGAAAGUGAUAGUACUGCAAGAGGAAGAGACGGCUAACUCUGUGCCAGCAGCCGCGGUAAUACAGAGGUCUCAAGCGUUGUUCGGAUUCAUUGGGCGUAAAGGGUGCGUAGGUGGCGUGGAAAGUUGAGUGUGAAAUCCUAGGGCUUAACCUUAGAACUGCACUCAAUACUCCCAUGCUAGAGGAAUGUAGAGGAGAGUGGAAUUCACGGUGUAGCAGUGAAAUGCGUAGAUAUCGUGAGGAAGACCAGUUGCGAAGGCGACUCUCUGGGCAUCUCCUGACACUGAGGCACGAAGGCUAGGGGAGCAAACGGGAUUAGAUACCCCGGUAGUCCUAGCAGUAAACGGUGCACGUUUGGUGUGGGCAGGCUCAGACCCUGUCCGUGCCGGAGCUAACGCGUUAAACGUGCCGCCUGGGAAGUACGGUCGCAAGAUUA